AGAAAAAAUGGAGCAUAUUUCCGCUUUCCUUGUGGUCGGUAGUUUGCGCCGGCGGGGGCGCGGAAAAACCUCUGGGUGCAAGUGCAAGUGCACAUCUUGUCCGCCGUUCACGUCGGGUGCAGCGGAGUGCAUCAGUCAGGAGCACCUGUGGGAACCAGUGCGCUCGCCGCCGCAGCAUUAUGAAUCGGAUCUUCAACGUUGAAGGUAAAUUACGUUCAUCGGUUUACGCUACGUCACUCCGCCGCGAGGAGAGCGGUGUAUCCUCUAUCGUCUGCUCGGCUUCUCGGCUUCUCCAGUGAUAUUUUGCUGUGAAGGGGAAUUCGUUUAGAUUUAAAACUACUUUAUUAUUGUGGUUUCUUUUGUUGUUUGGUGUACCCUACUCAUGGAAUGAUCAAGAAUGCAAAGAAAAGUAAUUCGUUGACACAAGUGAUUCUCUGGAUAUACCAUCUGAUUCUGCUGUGUCUCUUCGGGAGCAGGGCUGUGUGCUGUGUUGUGGUGAUCUGUGAAGAGCUGACCAAUUCAUCUAACUGAAGCUAGAUUUUGUGUGCGGGAAGAAAGGGACAGAGAGAGAGAGAGAGA